rnacentral:rRNA from 1 species
UGGGGAAUCUUGGACAAUGGGCGAAAGCCUGAUCCAGCCAUGCCGCGUGUGUGAAGAAGGCCUUUUGGUUGUAAAGCACUUUAAGCGAGGAGGAGGCUACUUGGAUUAAUACUCUAGGAUAGUGGACGUUACUCGCAGAAUAAGCACCGGCUAACUCUGUGCCAGCAGCCGCGGUAAUACAGAGGGUGCGAGCGUUAAUCGGAUUUACUGGGCGUAAAGCGUGCGUAGGCGGCUUCUUAAGUCGGAUGUGAAAUCCCUGAGCUUAACUUAGGAAUUGCAUUCGAUACUGUGAAGCUAGAGUAUGGGAGAGGAUGGUAGAAUUCCAGGUGUAGCGGUGAAAUGCGUAGAGAUCUGGAGGAAUACCGAUGGCGAAGGCAGCCAUCUGGCCUAAUACUGACGCUGAGGUACGAAAGCAUGGGGAGCAAACAGG